CCUUUGUGGACACUGCUUAUGGCAAGGGGCCCAAGGGGUUCGAUCGGCUCCUUAUCAGCUGACUGCAGUGCAGAUCGGGCCUUUUCUCCUUACAAGCAGCCUGGGCCAGGUCUUGUGUAGGUAAUGUCAGCCACUGUGAGCUCAUGAAUAUCAAGGCCAUUUUGUGUUUGGAUGACCGCAUUGUGAACAGUCCUCCCCUUCCUGAGCCUUGGAGGGUGUGGCAGAGAUGUCUCAUUUAGUGCCAUACACUCCACUUCCACUUGUUCUCAACACUUAGCUGUAACAUUAUGAAGAAAUGCAAAAGCUGAUAUAUGAAAAGCCUAAGAACUCUUAAUGCUGUGAUGAAGGUCAUCCUUAUGAUCAGUGUCCAGAACAGACUCAUUUUUGAGCCGAUGAUGAGGACAUCCUUAGCUAAAGCAUGGUCUGAACCCAGGAGGCCGACCCUCAGCAUGCACUCCAAGAUCCCUGAAGAGUCCCUGUGGCCACAGCUUGGGAACUGGGUGCCAGAAGGCCACAGGGCUUGUGUGUUGGCUGUCUGCUGAAGCUCCAGGCUCCUCGGGCCUAUUUCACUUGAGCCCUCACAAGAACACAGCUGUGGUUUUUGCCAGGUAACAGGCCUCCAGCCUUAUGCCAGGAGGGAAGCCCCUGACUAGUGGGGCCCAGGAGUGGAUGAAGCUGGUGGUAGCCCAUGCCAGCUGACCUCCUUGCUGCCUGCUUUGACUUCUCUGUAUUCCCAACGGAUAUGUGUGUGCGUGUUUCUUCUCAAUGGGAGUGUGAAAGUUCCCCAUGGUACAGGGGAGGGACUGCUGCUACCUAGGAGCAGUUUUUAGGUAUGACAAGGCACAGGCAAACUCACUCCACCUUGGCAGGCUUGUUUUGAAAGGCCCAAGAAUUCAGAAGCCCAGAAAUACUAUCACUCUCCAAAGGGAGCUUAAGCAGGCCCCUGCAUACCUCAAACUCCAGGCUUUACUCUCUGUUGAAAGCAAGUAAAG